AGUGAACGCUGGCGGUAGGCCUAACACAUGCAAGUCGAACGGCAGCACAGUAAGAGCUUGCUCUUACGGGUGGCGAGUGGCGGACGGGUGAGGAAUACAUCGGAAUCUACUUUUUCGUGGGGGAUAACGUAGGGAAACUUACGCUAAUACCGCAUACGACCUACGGGUGAAAGCAGGGGAUCUUCGGACCUUGCGCGAUUGAAUGAGCCGAUGUCGGAUUAGCUAGUUGGCGGGGUAAAGGCCCACCAAGGCGACGAUCCGUAGCUGGUCUGAGAGGAUGGUCGGCCACCCUGGAACUGAGACACGGUCCAGACUCCUAAGGGAGGCAGCAGUGGGGAAUAUUGGACAAUGGGCGCAAGCCUGAUCCAGCCAUACCGCGUGGGUGAAGAAGGCCUUCGGGUUGUAAAGCCCUUUUGUUGGGAAAGAAAAGCAGCAGGUUAAUACCCCGCUGUUCUGACGGUACCCAAAGAAUAAGCACCGGCUAACUUCGUG
rnacentral:rRNA from 1 species